rnacentral:rRNA from 1 species
CCCUUAGAUGUUCUGGGCCGCACGCGCGCUACACUGAAACGUUCAACGAGUAUUCACCUUGCCCGGGAGGGUUGGGUAAUCUUUUGAAAACGCUUCGUGAUGGGGAUAGAUUAUUGCAAUUAUUAAUCUUCAACGAGGAAUGCCUAGUAAGCGCAAGUCAUCAGCUUGCGUUGAUUACGUCCCUGCCCUUUGUACACACCGCCCGUCACUCCUACCGAUUGAAUGGUCCGGUGAAGCGUUCGGACCGUGGCCUUUGGACGGUUCGCCGUCUGUUGGCUGCGGGAAGUUCGUUAAACCUUAUCAUUUAGAGGAAGGAGAAGUCGUAACA